CACGAAGUUCGCGCCGGAGUCGGCGAGGCCCAUGCCGAGCUCCGCCACCUGCUCACGCGGGAACCUGGUGAGGCUGCCGAAGCAGACGUAGACCACCGACCGUGCGGGUUUCGUGUUCAGCCACCUCAGCACGCGCGCGGCCUCGGCGGCCGUACUGGAGUCCCCGCCGCGGCCGCGCUCCAGGGCGUCGUCGCCGUCGCCGUUGACAAGGCAGACCGGCCCGACGGCGAACACCGGCUUCCCCGUGUCCUUCUCGUAGUGUUCGAUGUACCUCUGCUCGAGGUCCGCGAACGAGUUGACGACCCACCCGGCCGUGACGCGCUCGGCGUCGAACAUGCGGCUCAAGAACUCGCGCGAGUGCGCGCCCGGGAGCGUCGCCUCGGCGAGCCUCGACCUGGUGAGCCGCACCGCGUCGGGGAGGCCCGGCACGAGGAACGGCUCGGUGUCCGACGCCACGCCAUUUUGCGGGCUGUGGAGCAGCAGAGCACGCUGCACCGAGAGCGCGAAGCACCCCGUGCCGGUGAACGCGUACCGCGGGAUGCCGAGCUCCGGGGCCGCAGUGGCAGCCCACGGGAGGACACCGUCGAACACGAUGGCGUCGGCAGGCUGGCGGCGCAGCAGAUCAGCAAAGAGCGGCGCGAGAAGGUCAACGGCGACCGCGAAAGGCCCAGCGAGCUCGCGGUUGGGAAGGUCGUCGGCGCUCUCGUGGCCACCCGCGAGCCCGGCGGCCUCUGCGGGCAGAGUGAGCGCGACGAUACGGAUGCGGAGGCCAGUGGCGGCCGCGCGGGCGACGGGGCCACCGAGCCUGGCGGCGUUGCCGCGCGUGAGGACAAGCGUGGUGUCGGCGCCGCGGGACGCGAAAAGGCGGGCGAGGUCCGACAUCGGCAGCGCGUGCCCUGGCGUCGGGAACGGGAUGAAGUACAUGCGCGGCGCCGCCGUGUCCCCCGACGACGCUACGGAAGAUGGCGACGGUCGCAUGGCGCUGAUCGGCAUGAGGAGAGCUGCGAUCGCAGUGGCGGUCGAUCGAGCAGAGUCCGACCGUGCACGGUGGAUGGCCUAUGCAAACGCAUAACGGUCAUAUAUAGAGUGGUCGAUAGAGCAGUGUGCACCCGUGCACGGUGGAUGGCCUUGAAACACAAAGAUGAUGUGAUGUCCUCUGC
rnacentral:misc_RNA from 1 species